GGUGUCCACAUCCAGUGCCUGCGAUGUACAGAGCUGCAGUUUCCACACUUCGCAGUCGUGACUUUUCUAUGUCAGGAAUUUGGGAGCUGCUUGGCUGGGCAGCAAUUCUGGCUCAAGGUCUUUCAUGCGAUUGCAGUCAAGAUGUCUACCAGGGCUACAGUCAUCUGAAGGCUUGGCUGGGGCUGGAGGAUCUGCUUCCAAGGUGGCUCUUUCACAUGGAUUUUAAAUUGGUGCCAGCUUUUAGCAGCAAGCCUCAGUUUCUCUCCACAUAGAUCUUUCCAGAGGGCUGCUUGAGUAUCCAUGCUGCCUAGUGGCUGGCUUCCCUCAGCACAAGCAAUCCAAGAGAGCAAGGCGGAAGCCACGGAGCCCUGUAUGAACUAACCUCAGUCUUCACAAUCCAGCUAGGCUAGAGCCCAAGAAAUGCAAGUCCUACUAGAAAUACACUUCUCAAGUAAAUCACCCAGGAGUUAGUAACAGUUUUGACUCACAGUGAGUCAUCAGCUGGUGAACUUAAGAGUAUCCUUUUCCCUUUCCAAGCUGAACAGCAUUAUACGUGUCAGUGUAAGCCUGUUCAUCGGCAACUAGAGCUUUAUACAAUUCCCUUCUGUUGGAUAAAAUACGCAUGGAAAUAGGAGAAAGAAUGUUAACCUCGUUGAAAUGUACAUUGUCUGGUUAACCAUAAUGAUGGAACUUUUUGUUUUUCCAAGCUGUACUCCUGUGCUUGUUUUUCUUAAAACUAUUAUUUGUUUGGGUUAUAGAUCGUCACUCUCUACUCCCCAUUUGCUGUAGAGAACAAGCCUUACAUGGAAGAGGUUAUUUUCUGCUUUUGUCAAGCGGAAGUUUUUUGGUACUCUCUUUGAUUCAAAUAUGAGUCUUCCUUGAUAAGAAGCAAUUUUACCUAACAGUGGGAUGAUUAAUGGCACAUAGCUCUAUAAGCCAAGAAUUGGGUGGAUCAUCAGAUCCUGAGAACAGCAGACGGGGCGUGAGGCUGAGGACCAGGGCGAAAAUGAAUUCAUAGAAAUGGGAAUGGUAUAACAAUUCACUCCUAUCAAAGCAUUACAACAUAGUUCUUUUGAGGAUAUUUUCCUGACAAAACAAUAUAUUACCUAUGAUCAAGUAUAGCUCUUCUCCCUGCAGCAAAUUCACAGUUAAUCAAGCAAGUUCUUAGUAACUGUCCACCUUUGAUAAUUUAAGGACUCCCCUACCUUGAGGCAUGGUAUAAACUAGAUGUUCUCUCAAGUUCUUUUUGACGCUGCACGUAUACCUAUAUCUGUAUGAACAUUUAUUCAUUUAUGUUAAAUUAUAUGUAACUAUAUAGCAUAUUUUAGCCCCAAAUACUUUUCUCCCAGUAAUUAUGUUUCUCUCUGUAG
rnacentral:lncRNA from 1 species